rnacentral:rRNA from 1 species
UACGUAAAGUGCGAGCGUUGCCCCGGAUUUAUUAAACGUAAAAAAACGCGUAAGCGGCUCGGCACGUCCAUUGUGAAAUCGCCCGGCUCAACUAGGCGGGAUCGACGGAUACGGCCGAGCUGGAGCAAGCUAAAAAGUAAUGGAAUUCCCGGUGUAGUGGUGGAAUGCGUAGAUAUCGGGAGGAACACCAGUGACGAAGGCGGUUACCUGGAGCUUUGCUGACGCUGAUGCGCGAAAGCGUAAAAAGGCGAUCCGG